AGUUCGAUUAUGGCUCAGAUUGAACGCUGGCGGGAUGCUUUACACAUGCAAGUCGAACGGCAGCACGGACUUCGGUCUGGUGGCGAGUGGCGAACGGGUGAGUAAUGUAUCGGAACGUGCCUAGUAGCGGGGAUAUAAUCAAUGGAGUGGUAGCUAAUACUGCAUACGCACCGGGGGAAAGUGGGGACCCGGGCCCGCACUAUUAGAGCGCCGCUGAUAGUUCGAUCGAAGUAGUUGGUGGGGUAAAUGGCCUGCAACAUACUGAUCCCGUGAAUGGUUUGAGAGGACGACCAGCCACACUGGGACUGAGACACGGCCCAGACUCCUACGGGAGGCAGCAGUGGGGAAUUUUGGACAAUGGGGAAACCCUGAUCCAGCCAUCCCCGGCGUGCGAUGAAGGCCUUCGGGUUGUAAAGCACUUUUGGCAGGAAAGAAACGGGCACGGGAUAAUACCCCGUGCAACUGACGGUACCUGCAGAAUAAGCACCGGCUAACUACGUGCCAGCAGCCGCGGUAAUACGUAGGGUGCAAGCGUUAAUCGGAAUUACUGGGCGUAAAGCGUGCGCAGGCGGUUCGGAAAGAAAGAUGUGAAAUCCCAGAGCUUAACUUUGAACUGCAUUUUUAACUACCGAGCUAGAGUGUGUCAGAGGGAGGUGGAAUUCGCAUGUAGCAGUGAAAUGCGUAGAUAUGCGGAGGAACACCGAUGGCGAAGGCAGCCUCCUGGGAUAACACUGACGCCUUACAACGAAAGCGUGGGGAGCAAACAGGAUUAGAUACCCUGGUAGUCCACGCCCUAAACGAUGUCAACUAGCUGCCGGGGCCUUCGGUCGGUAGCGCAGCUAACGUGAAGUUGACCGCCUGGGGAGUACGGUCGUAAAGAUUAAAACUCCAAAGGAAUUGACGGGGACCCGCACAAGCGGUGGAUGAUGUGGAUUAAUUCGAUGCAACGCGAAAAACCUUACCUACCCUUGACAUGUCUGGAAUCCCGAAGAGAUUUGGGGAGUGCUCGCAAGAGAACCGGAACACAGGUGCUGCAUGGCUGUCGUCAGCUCGUGUCGAGAUGUUGGGUUAAGUCCCGCAACGAGCGCAACCCUUGUCAUUAGUUGCUACGAAAGGGCACUCUAAUGAGACUGCUGGUGACAAACCGGAGGAAGGUGGGGAUGACGUCAAGUCCUCAUGGCCCUUAUGGGUAGGGGCUUCACACGUCAUACAAUGGUCGGGACAGAGGGUCGCCAACUCCGCGCGAGGGGAGCCAACCCAGAAACCCGAUCAGUCCGGAUCGCAGCGAAGUCUGCAACUCGACUGCGUGAAGUCGGAAUCGCUAGUAAUCGCGGAUCAGCAAUGUCGCGGUGAAUACGUUCCCGGGUCUUGUACACACCCGCCCGUCACACCAUGGAGUGGUCACCAGAAGUGGAAGUUGGCUCUAACCGAAGAGGAAGUGAUUACCAUGUAGGAUUCAUGACUGGGGUGAAGUCGUAACAACAAGGCAA
rnacentral:rRNA from 1 species